UGGGGAAUUUUGCACAAUGGAGGAAACUCUGAUGCAGCGACGCCGCGUGAGAGAUGAAGAUCUUCGGAUUGUAAAACUCUGUCCUUAGUGAAGAUAAUGACAGUAACUAAGAAGCAAGCCCUGGCUAAAUACGUGCCAGCAGCCGCGGUAAUACGUAUGGGGCAAGCGUUGUCCGGAAUUAUUGGGCGUAAAGGGUACGUAGGCGGUUUAAUAAGUCCUAAUUAAAAGGCUAUGGCUCAACCAUAGUAUGGUUAGGAAACUGUUGAACUUGAGUAGAUGAGGGGAAAGUGGAAUUCCAUGUGUAGCGGUGAAAUGCGUAGAUAUAUGGAGGAACACCAAUGGCGAAGGCAACUUUCUGGAAUCAAACUGACGCUGAGGUACGAAGGCGUGGGGAGCAAACAGG
rnacentral:rRNA from 1 species